rnacentral:misc_RNA from 1 species
CAUUAACCCCAAAAAUAAAAAAAAACCCAGCAUUUUCCCAAGAAUAAUUGGCUGGAAAAAUGGUGCAAGGCCACAAUUUUAUGUGGUGAAAGUGAAGUAUUCCCUACUAAGAAAUGCGGGUAUAUGUUCUGUUUUAAUCAAUGAAGCAUAAGAAAAUGACCCUUUGAUGGUCUAAAUAAUACAAAAAUAAAGGCCUAUAUGCGGCCGAGUGUAAUACACUCUUACCAAUAAAAAAUGGAAAUUAUUGUGAAGUGAAAAAUAUAAACAAAUUCAUAAUUAGAUUAAUCUACCACAAAAAAAGAAUUUCAUAGAUUGAUCAAUCUACCCGAGAGAUCAUUCAGAAGUGCAAUAAAGGAUCCACUUCUCUUGGCAGUUGAAGUCAGUGGAUGCCAUUUAAUUGUGAUCUCAGGAAGAAUGGGCGAAGGGACACAGUUACUCCGUCUGUUUUCCUUUCCGAAGUUUUUCUAGUUCUUCUUCAGCAUCUGUCAAUUGUCGCCUCAGGGUCUCUAUUUUCCGUUCCAACUCUUCCACUGUGUCCCGACUGGUGGAAGGCUGAUAUGGUGUCACAAAAUGACUUGAGAAAUCUUUCAGAGCUUCAACCCCAGUAACCUCUUCUGGCAACAAUGGCAACUUGGUGAUGUUAAAGUCAUCAUACAGCAUGUAGAACUGAUCAAGGUACUUUUGUUGCAUCCGCAUUCUUGCUUUAAGCAAUUUGGAUUCAACAUCUUCUUCAUCAUAAAGUACUUGGUUGAUGAUAAUAUUAUGUGUAUCUAUCUCAAAUUUGGUAAGUUCCUGCACCAGUCUCUCUGUUUCAUACAGCGAGAGAAAUUCCGGGAUGCAAACACAGACAAAGGUUGUCAAAUCCUGACAAAGAAGAAAACAUGCGCAUUAAGAAAUAAAUGAAUACAGCAACAUAAAAAGAAUUCAAAAGAAAUCCCCAAAACAGGAAUAUUCAAAAGGAAUAUAAAAAAGUUAGGUAAAUCAUACUUAGUGACAAUGCAAGACAUCAGAAAUUUCAGGAAUCCUAGAUUUUAUAGUGGCAAAAUUUAGCAAUAUAUUGAGAUCAUCUGGAUCGAGGUAAAAGAAAACCACAGCAAUGAAAGAUCUUACUGGGUCUUUGAAUUGCAUAUUCACUCGUUCAAUCACAUCUUUCAUGCCCUCAAGCCUUCCCAAAAGGGCAUCUUCACCAAAUUCAUCAUCAAUACCAAAUACACGAGUCAUCUGCAAUGAACAGUGUCAAUUCUUAUCAAAUACAUAAUUGUAUUGCUAAUAGUCCAUGGCACAAGAAUUAAGAGAUACAAAUGAGAUUUUAAAAAUAAAAUUUAUUUAGAUUAUGAUAUCCACAGUCAAAAUUGAAUGUGACAGCUGUAUUAAUGUGUCAUAGCAGGUGAGAAUGUCCAAAUCUAAAGUAUAAAUGGCAGCAUAAUAUAUAAAUUUGGUCUGCCCAUGUGCCCAUCUAAUGGUUCCAAUGCAAUAACACCACAAAAUCAACACUUUUUGAAUUCAGUUCAUCAAUUAGGAUUUUCAAAAAUAGAUAUCUGCUUGAGUGAGAAUAAGGUACAUAGAAGAUAGUGGAUACUGGAUAUAGAAAUCAACACCUUAUGACAUAACCAGUAGAGUAUAUUUAUGGUUGAUGGCCAUAGACUUCCAAGACUCAUUUGACUGUAAAGAUAAACCACUUUAACUGAGGAGAGAUUAACACGAAUUGGCUCAAAAGAGUGAGCGUAGCAUAGUCUCGCUCAAACUUUGGCCAUGAAAAUCAUUCUGAUGUUUUUGGAGUGGAAGAUAGAAGUAUAUGACAUCCAAGAAAGAUGUGCUACUGCAGAUAUUACCACACUCCACCUCAUCAUAUAGAGUAAACAGAGAUUGAAAGCUGACAAACACAGCAUUUAGAUUCAUAUACACAUUCUUAUAUUUUGUACAAAAAACCAACUUUACCAGGCGUAAGAUGGAGUUUCAAAGAAAAUUUUGAAAUCAAUUCACCAUCUACAACAAGGAAAAAGGAUAUUAAGCUAAGGUUAAUUAAUCCAGAUCUCAAACCUUCAAAAUAAUGGAAGGGAAACCCGAAAAAUGACUGCCACUUGAGUUCUCAUGAUAUUAUUCAAGGACAUACCUGGCUCAAUAAACCACCAAAUUUACUUUUCAAAGACAUCAUUUUUUGCAGCCCCUUCUCUAGAGUUGAUGGAAAUUGUAAUAGCCGCAGUGUAUGACCAGUUGGAGCCGUAUCAAAUACAAUAACAGAGUAGUCCAUCGUUUGCACCAAUUUCAACAUUUCUGCAAAGCUCAUAGCCUCAUCGAUUCCAGGAAUUGCGUUCGCUAGCUCAGAGAAAACACUGUCCAUUCCAUCAUUUCCGCCUACGUCCUCGUUUUCAACAUUAGGAUCGACUUCCAUAGCAUAUAAAUUGUUGAAGCCAUUGACCAAAGUGGGGGUCUUGGUGAAUCGCUGUUGAAACGCAUCGCUAAGAUUGUGAGCUGGGUCAGUUGAUAUGAUCAAGACAGAGGAUCUGACCCUAGCCAAAAGGACCGAGAGAAUGGAACUGCAAGUGGUUUUUCCGACACCACCUUUGCCUCCGACGAAGACCCACUUGAGGGUCUCUUGGUCUAGUAUGUUCCGGACAGAUCCUUCAGGUAUCUCCAGAUCAUCUGUUGCCAUCCUUUGCUAACCAAUUCUCUUCCUUGCGCCAAUUUUCUUUCUCUCGAUUCUUAAGCUCGAAACAGAGCACAGAGGCACGGUCAUAGAUUUUGGCCCAGCUCGGUUGGGAUGGCG